ensembl:miRNA mir-4815 miscRNA
UUGCCUCGUUCGUCGUAUAUUCGUCGUAUAUUGCGUCGUACAUUCCGGACUUCCUUCUAAAUGUAUGAGCAAAAUGCGAGGAAUGUACGAUGCGAAUUG